rnacentral:rRNA from 1 species
CCAGACUCCUACGGGAGGCAGCAGUGGGGAAUAUUGGGCAAUGGGCGAAAGCCUGACCCCCCAACCCCGCGUGAAGGAAGAAGGCUUUCGGGUUGUAAACUUCUUUUGACAGGGAAGAGCAGAAGACGGUACCUGUCGAAUAAGCCACGGCUAACUCCGUGCCAGCAGCCGCGGUAAUACGGAGGAUGCGAGCGUUAUCCGGAUUUAUUGGGUUUAAAGGGUGCGCAGGCGGAGGCACAAGUCAGCGGUAAAAUCGCGGGGCUAACCCCCGCUCCGCCGUUGAAACUGUGUCCCUUGAGUGCGCGAAGGGUAGGCGGAAUGCGUGGUGUAGCGGUGAAAUGCAUAGAUAUCACGCAGAACUCCGAUCGCGAAGGCAGCCUACCGGCGCGCAACUGACGCUCAUGCACGAAAGCGUGGGUAUCGAACAGGAUUAGAUACCCCUGUAGAC